UACGGAGGGGGCUAGCGUUGUCCGGAAUCAUUGGGCGUAAAGCGCGCGUAGGCGGCCCUGUAAGUCCGUUGUGAAAGUCAAAGGCUCAACCUUUGAAAGCCGAUGGAUACUGCAGGGCUAGAGUCCGGAAGAGGCGAGUGGAAUUCCUGGUGUAGCGGUGGAAUGCGCAGAUAUCAGGAGGAACACCAAUAGCGAAGGCAGCUCGCUGGGACGGUACUGACGCUAAGGCGCGAAAGCGUGGGGAGCGAACAGG
rnacentral:rRNA from 1 species